rnacentral:rRNA from 1 species
UACGAAGGGGGCUAGCGUUGCUCGGAAUCACUGGGCGUAAAGCGCGCGUAGGCGGAUCGUUAAGUCGGGGGUGAAAUCCUGGAGCUCAACUCCAGAACUGCCCUUGAUACUGGCGAUCUUGAGUCCGGGAGAGGUGAGUGGAACUCCGAGUGUAGAGGUGAAAUUCGUAGAUAUUCGGAAGAACACCAGUGGCGAAGGCGGCUCACUGGCCCGGUACUGACGCUGAGGUGCGAAAGCGUGGGGAGCAAACAGG